GUGUCAUAGCAUGCAAAUAGAUAUCAUUAUAUUAUAUGGUUAUUUUCUGUGUGUGUGUUUUUUUUGUAUUUUAAAAUGAAAAUAUGCACAAAUAUUUAAGGACUUUAAAAAAAAAAAAGAACGAAAACACCAGUGAAAUGCUGUAUUGUUUUAAAAGGAUGUUGUAAGACUUCUUUUGCAUCUGUGUGCAUGGGAGAUCCAUUUUAAGCUACGUCUGAAGGAUUUCAAAACAGAGACACAGGAAAAAAAAAAGUUUCAUGAAAAUGUAAUCUGGACAAGCAAUCAAGAAGCGGGUGUUGCAAGCGCUGACACUGAAAACAGAACAUGGACUUAGUAUUAAAAAAAUUGGAAAAUCAAAAGUAUGGGGAUGAAACGGAGAGAGAGGGGGAGGGGGGGGCCAUAUUUUACAAAUUGAUGCCCUGAGUACGUAACUAAACUAGGAGACUCCGGCAGACUGAAGAGGCUUGAACAGAGCAGAAUCUCACCCCCAGAUUGGACUGUUUGUUAAAUCGAGUGAAAUGUUUUGCCCAGAAUAACGCUAUAGAACGGAUAUGGGACCGCAGUCGAAUCUGAUGGGAUUCACAGCCUGAUGCAGUGAGUGUAUAUGCAGAGAGAGCCAAGUCUGAGGUUCCAGAACCUCAAUGUCAAGAUGGUACCCCUCAGACGCAAUGAGGGCAGGAGUGCGAUCGACGGGGAAGAGUCGAGCGAGGACCGCGAAGAGAGGAUCUUAGCUAUGCUGGGGAUCGCAGGGACAGUCCUCAAUUUGCUGGUGGUUAUAUUCGUUUACAUCUACACCACCAUCUGACCAGCAAGAAGCAUCGAGGAGACGGGGAACAAGCAGUGAUGCACUGAAGGGGGCAGUUUGCACAAUGGAAAGAAAAAAAAAAACACCACAACAGUACAUCAUAAAUAAUUGCACAAGACGGAAGCUGAUACUGUAAAUAUGGCAAGGACUAGUGCUAAGGACAGUAGCCAGCCCACUGACAUUUUCAAGUGGCCUUUGUGUAAACAGAGGAGCAAUUGGAAGAUUGGGCGGUGUCUGAUUAAGAAACACAACUGACAAUGUAGAAGAGAAGUCAGUUGAAUUGAAAAUGGCAGGUAUGAAUUUUUGGGUAGUGGAUGUUCGUCGUCCCACUGAAGUUGGCAAACCCCCAAACUGUGUUGCGAAACUUCAAGAGGGUUUAUCAGUGCCUGUCUCAGAUAGAGUACAGGGGUCCCAGGACACAGCGGGGUUGAAUAAACACUCUCUUACAAAAAUCUUGUUUUCUACAAAUAAGCUUAACCUGGAGAAGACAUAAUGAAAGACUAAACUGAAUCAACUUUAUACUGUACUUCUGAUUAAUGGAAUAUGCAUUUCUACUGUUUCUACGCAAAAGUUGAUCCUGAAAUUCCAAAGCUUUAGAUUAUUAUUAUUAUUAUUAUUAUUAUUAUUAUUAUUAUUAUUAUUAUUAUUAUUAUUAUUAGUAGUAGUAGUAGUAGUAGUAUAGAUAGAUAUGUGGUAGUAUUAAUAUAAAUGCAUAUAGAAAAUGAUAUGGAGGACGCUGUGUGGUCCAGUGGUUAAAGAAAAGGGCUUGUAACCAGGCGGUCCCCGGUUCAAAUCCCACCUCAGCCACUGACUCAUUGUGUGACCCUGAGCAACUCACUUAACCUCCUUGUGCUCCGUCUUUCGGGUGAGACGUAAUUGUAAGUGACUCUGCAGCUGAUGCAUAGUUCACACACCCUAGUCUCUGUAAGUCGCCUUGGAUAAAGGCAUCUGCUAAAUAAACAAAUAAUAAUAAUAAUGAUAUAAUUUCAAAAUAUCUACAAACCUCCAAUAUUAGUGUCCUAUUUUCACAUUUGUAAGUGAUACAUAACAAAAGGGUUUACUGGAAAAAAAAGCAUACUGCCUUGUGGAAGAUUUUACUGUGCUUCCAGAAAGUACAAUCACAUUUUAAAACCUUUUUUUAGCUCCAACGUAAAACUGACACCCCGUGAUUUCGUUUUCGUUACUGGUAGUGGAUUUCUGAAUUCACAGGCAGUGUCAUGUUACAGCUUCCUACAACAUAUGCUGCCCCAGAGCUGAAGGCAGUGGUUUAUGAGCCCAGAGAUUGUAUUUGAAAAGUCAGUGAACAAGAAAAUGAACCCAAUCUAGCCACAGGAAAAGCAACUGCCUUUUCACCUGUCUUAAAAUGCAUGAAAUUAGGCCAAAUAAUGGCAGUUUAAACAGCAUAGCGAAAGCCACAAUAACACAGUUCGCUCAUCUGCAUCACUGCAACACGGUAGUCGAGCAAAAUGUCAUGUGGUUUCAAUAAAAAAAAAAAAAAAAAUUAAAAUAAAAAUUAAAAAUAUUUUAGAGUUUCAGUCAUUCUGGCUGGUUCUUUCUGUAAUGUUUAUUAUUUUUUUCUAUAAUGUUGAGGUGGUUUCACCUGAGGUCAGAAACUGCCCCCGAGUUCAAGAUAUAUAAGGGUUAACGUUAGAUGCUCUGCAAUGCACCAUUUGCAAGAGUGUGCAUAUCCCUAAUUAAAAAUACAAAACAAACCAGUUAUGGAAACAAAAUAAAAACUGCUAUUCAGAAAUAGUAUACUGUAAGUAAAGUAAAAUAUCUUUUACUACAAGCGAACGACAUAAAUGGAUGCCUUUAAUUAUGUGUGUUGCCAAAUAUCUGUGUUUUUUUUUUCUUCUCUAAACAAUAAAACAUUUCUGUAUGACAGAGAGCAACACAUAAAUACAUUGUGUUGUCAAAGCAACAACUACAGCUGCCAUGGAAACAAAUGUAUUUUUAAUGUACUCUUUAUAAUAUAAAAAUUAAAAAAAGAUAA